UUUCAUAUGAUUAUUUUGUCCACCACCCCAUCUCCAUGUAUAUAUCAAUCCCAUAAUUGAUAAGGUACCUUACCUUCAUUUCACAACCCUCUCUUCCCUCCUUCUCUUGCAUGAUCAUUUCUCCUCCCUCAUUCACCAACAAACCAAACCAUAACAUGGCCUCGGAGUCACACCAUCACGUGCAAGGCCUAACACCCGAAGAGUUCAUGGAACUCGAACCCAUCAUAAAAACCUACCACAUUUUUGAACGCCCUCCCAACACAUGUUUUUCCAUAAUAACGUACCGCAUCGAUGCUCCCGCGAGCAUCGUGUGGCCGUUUGUGAGGAGCUUCGAGAGCCCUCAGAAGUACAAGCACUUCAUCAAGGGCUGCAACAUGAGAGGAGAUGGGGGUGUGGGGAGCAUAAGGGAAGUCACCGUCGUCUCGGGCCUCCCCGCGUCAACCAGCACGGAGAGGCUCGAGAUUUUGGACGAUGACAAACAUGUCCUUAGCUUCAGAGUGGUCGGUGGUGAACACCGACUCAAGAACUAUCGUUCUGUGACGUCGGUGAACGAGUUCAACAAAGAGGGUAAGGUUUACACCAUUGUGUUGGAGUCGUAUAUCGUAGACAUACCCGAAGGGAAUACGGAAGAGGAUACCAAGAUGUUUGUGGACACGGUGGUCAAACUCAACCUUCAGAAACUUGGGGUCGUUGCUAUGGCUACAUCAAUGCAUGGACAAGAAUAGUAACCAAUGAAUCAAUGUUUCUUAAUUUGGUGGAUGGUAGUUGAGUUAGACGCCUUUUUGUGCGGCUUAAAUGUCCAAACCACGAAUUCAACAGCAAUGACAACAAAGUGGGAAAAUCUCGUGAUCACUUGUGACCAACCUUCAGAAACAUGUGACUAUGAAACAUGAGGUCUUCCUUUAGCUUGGGCACAUGGAUAUCACAAUGUUUUCGACUCCCUGACUGCUCUGAUCUUGUUGAAGAGCCAACUCCUCCAUUUCAUCCAUAUGUUGCUCUAAUCACAAGUGUUCCUCAAUUGAUCUCAAGGGAUUGCCAAGUUGCUCUCCAACAAUAUUUUUGUGAAGGAAACGCCUGCGUUGACUGCUAGCUGAAUAAGGAUUCGCUUUUGAUGAUAGUGUUGUUCUUUGGGGCCAAUGUCCUUAACAAAUUACGCUUCAAUUCAUAAUAGGUGCCUUAGAGGCUUCUUCUU